rnacentral:lncRNA from 1 species
UUCUUAAGUACCCAUAGUGCGCACCUGGCCCACAUUUAUCUUAAGUACCCAUAAUCUAAGUCUGCUUUUCUCGAAUUUGUAAGAUUUUGUUUAAGAAAAGGUUUAAAGAAAGUUUGAAAAUGAUGCUAUAACAACUGUUAAAAAUAAGUUUAUUGUAUGUAAAAUGCUUUUCGUAAGUCAGACACUAUUUUUACUUCAGCUGGUUAUGUGUGUUUAUGGUUAUGUGUAUAUGUUGGGAGCAGGUGUUAUUGAUUGAUAUGAUCACAUGAUAUUAUAUUACUUUUAGUCAAAUGAAUUUUUGGUGUGGGGAACUUAUUUUUCAGGUUGAAGCACUCAAUAAGUUAAAAACUUUAAAUAGUUUAAUCAAACUGAAUGCCGUGAAGUUAAACAGAGCCAAAGGGAAGGAGGCCAUGCAUACCUGUUUAAAACAGAGUGCUUACCGGGAAGCCCUCUCUGACCUGCAGUCACCCCUGAACCCAUGUGUUAUCCUCUCAGAACUCUAUGUUGAAAAGUGCAAAUACAUGGAUUCCAAAAUGAAGCCUUUGUGGCUGGUAUACAAUAACAAGGUAUUUGGUGAGGAUUCAGUUGGAGUGAUUUUUAAAAAUGGUGAUG